ACUCUUACAUUUUUUGAUGCCUUGAUUGCUAAGUACACAUUUGGGACUGAUUUGGUUUCCGUUGUUGUAGGUUGGUGUAGGUGUCACUUCAGGGGGAGUUAACCAGAUAAGUUUGUAUUUUUCUUUUUGGUUGCAUUUGAGUGUCUAAUUACCUGCUUGCCUUCUUUUCUUUUCUUUUUUCUUUCUUUCUUUUAAUUGUAAUUCUCUUUGGUUGUUUUAGAUCAAUAAGGGACGUCCCCAUAUUCAAGGAACGGUUUCAACAUGACAAUGACGGUAUGUUAUGAAGAAGAUUCGUUUGGCUAAGCAAACGGAGAAAUUCAAACGUACAGCACAUCAAGAGCUAUCAGAAUCCUGAAGGCCAAAUGAGACUGCAGGUUACAACUAUUACAAGGACAUGGGCAGAUAGUUCUGCCAACUCAAGAGGUGCAACCAUAGUAAUCCACUUGUGGUGCAGCGAUGAUGCAUAGAGUCAUGACAAAGUGAGUCUUCUUGGGAAAACCCCAUGGAGAGGAUGAAUUGUGUUAUGCCUGAAUCUCCAUACCAGUUGAAGCUCUAAGCCGCAUGAUGAUGA